GGCCCCUGGCACAAUACUGACGCNUCANGGUGCGAAANGCGUGGGGAGCAAACAGGAUAGANUACCCUGGUAGUCCACGCCGUAAACGAUGUCUACUAGCUGUUCGUGGUCUUGUACUGUGAGUAGCGCAGCUAACGCACUAAGUAGACCGCCUGGGGAGUACGGUCGCAAGAUUAAAACUCAAAUGAAUUGACGGGGGCCCGCACAAGCGGUGGAGCAUGUGGUUUAAUUCGACGCAACGCGAAGAAACCUUACCUACUCUUGACAUCUAGCGAAGAUUGCAGAGAUGCAGUUGUGCCUUCGGGAACGCUAAGACAGGUGCUGCAUGGCUGUCGUCAGCUCGUGUUGUGAAAUGUUGGGUUAAGUCCCGCAACGAGCGCAACCCUUAUCCUUAGUUGCCAGCACGUAAUGGUGGGAACUCUAGGGAGACUGCCGGUGAUAAACCGGAGGAAGGUGGGGACGACGUCAAGUCAUCAUGGCCCUUACGAGUAGGGCUACACACGUGCUACAAUGGUACGUACAGAGGGAGGCAAGCUGGCGACAGUGAGCGGAUCUCUUAAAGCGUAUCGUAGUCCGGAUCGCAGUCUGCAACUCGACUGCGUGAAGUCGGGAUCGCUAGUAAUCGCAAAUCAGAAUGUUGCGGUGAAUACGUUCCCGGGCCUUGUACACACCGCCCGUCACACCAUGGGAGUGGGUUGCAAAAGAAGUAGGUAGCUUAACCUUCGGGAGGGCGCUUACCACUUUGUGAUUCAUGACUGGGGUGAAGUCGUAACAAGGUAACC
rnacentral:rRNA from 1 species